UUCAUGAAGCCGGAAUUGCUAGUAAUGGCAGGUCAGCAUACUGCCGUGAAUACGUUCCCGGGCCUUGUACACACCGCCCGUCACACCAUGAGAGUUGGGAAUACCCGAAGCCUGUGAGCUAACGUUAAGAGGCAGCAGUCGAAGGUAGAAUCAAUGAUUGGGGUGAAGUCGUAACAAGGUACC
rnacentral:rRNA from 1 species